UAAAAAUUUUUAUCACUAUCUAAAAUAUCUCAUUUUAUCUUAACUAUGUCCAAACGACUUAAGUUAUUUUUGUUACUAAACUGUCUUUUUUUAUUUUGAUUGUUGUUUACCAAUCUUUACCUUUUUGCCUCUGUUAUGAACAGGAGAUAACAAAGGAGGAUCUGGAAUGGACAUCUAACAAAGACGCCUUCUCGGCAGUGGAAGCAUUCGCCAACAUACUCUUGGAGCAUCUUGGAAGAAAAUUCAAACACCACAGCCCCGUCUCGGUGCUCGAAAGCAGCACCACCAGCGGCCUCAGCCUCACCAACAGCAACAACAGUACCACCAAUACUAGUGCCCAAUGCCCUUAUAAGCGAAGUUCUCAUGCGUGCUCACAGCAAGCGCCGCCAAGGCAACGCCGAGACGCCCCAUGCCAACUCUAGCAAAGGUGGACCACACAACAGAAGAACAUGAAACCUAUGGUGUCCAACAUGACAACAAUUGGGAGGAAGUGCUAGCAUUGUGGAGCCUAAAAGACCCCACAAUGAUGGGCGGGGCCUUUCGGGCCUAAAACCCUAUGUAAUGCUUGUGGGGUGCAGUACAAGUCCAGGCGGCUUGUACCGGAAUACCGUUCAGCGAGUAGACCCACAUUCUCAGCCGAGUUACAUUCCAAUUGUCAUAGGAAGAUUCUGGAGAUGAGGCGGCAUAUGGGAAUGGGAAAGAUUAUAGGUAAUGCCAAAAGAUUGUUUGAUUUCAACUUGUCGGCACUGUACACAUCAAUGGAGUUUGUUCAAGCGGGGAAUCGAGGAGUCAGUGAGAUGAAGAAGGGCAAAGGGAUCGUGGAGUACUCUUUCAUCAUUUAGAAGCAGGGAAUGCACAUUCCAGUAGUCUAUCAGAAUUUUCUUUGUGACAUAAAUCAAUGCUUCAAAAAAGGGAAAUAUAAGGUGAUCAAUUCUCCAAAGUUUUUCCCAAAUGUUCAAUUGCAUGGAGAUGGUGGAUAUUCAUGAAUUUUGGUCCCUGAAAGCAACAUACGCACACAAACAUAUAUAUACAGGAAACAUUGUUCUAAUUGCUCAUUAUUUAGAGCUGAUGCUACAUGAAUGGAUACAUACGGGGGGGUAGAAGUAGUUUGGAUACUUUGGACUUUGGAGGCUUGAUUUGUGACCCAAAUGCUCAAAAUGAUCUAGUCGAAGCAAUGGAGGUUGUGCUAAAUUUACAAUUGAUCACUGGAAGGAAUGGGAAAUUGAGAAAAAAUAAAAAUGGGGAAUUUUGAAA